UACGUAGGGGGCGAGCGUUGUCCGGAUUUAUUGGGCGUAAAGGGCGUGUAGGCGGCCUGAUAAGUCAGAGGUGAAAGACCAGGGCUCAACCCUGGGCAUGCCUCUGAAACUGUUGGGCUUGAGUGCUCUAGAGGGCAGUGGAAUUGCCGGUGUAGCAGUGAAAUGCGUAGAGAUCGGCAGGAACACCAGUGGCGAAGGCGACUGCCUGGGGAGUAACUGACGCUGAGGCGCGAAAGCUGGGGGAACAAACGGG
rnacentral:misc_RNA from 1 species